CAAGGCCAGAUUUCUUAUUUUGAUGAGAAUUUGGUCAGUAUGUUUACAUAAGUGUCUUUGGGCCACGGAAGUAACUCCUCCCAGGAACAGUGAUGGGAAGUACUGAGUAUCUAUUUGUGUAUAUUAGACAUGAGGAGACAUUUCCCUACAGUAGAGGAGAGUGACUGUGUGACCAGAAAGAUGUUCUCUGUCCUUAGAAGACUCACAUUGAACCGGUCCACAAUGAUGAAAGCCAUUCAGGAAAAUCACAGGUCAACCAUCUACAGCAAGCCACCAAAGGAAAAGAUUGGACCAGUGCAAUCUUUCAUUGCCAUAUGUGCGUUUGCUGUGACUAUCUUGGGCCCGGCUGGAUGGAUCAUGCAUCACAUUCCAGACUACCGGCAGAGAUCACCUCCACAACCCUGACUUCUGCAAAAUCUCUUCACUCAGGAAGACACCCAUGCACUAUCAUUAUUGUGGCUUUCCAAUGUGUAAAAUGUUAUGAAGGGAAGCAAAACUUGACGAUGAAACCAUUCCCCAGAAUAAAGACUUUUUCGUGAUA